rnacentral:snRNA from 1 species
UGAAAGUCACCAAGGGGCUAAAAUUGGAGCGAUUCAGAGAUUAGCAUGGGCCCUGCACAAGGACUGCAGGCAAAUUUGUGAAGCACUCCAUGUUUCU